AGCAGCCGCGGUAAUUCCAGCUCCAAUAGCGUAUAUUAAAGUUGUUGCAGUUAAAAAGCUCGUAGUUGAAUUUCGGGACCAUCAUGUCGGUCGUGCCUCGGUACGUACUGGUAUUGUUGGUUUCUCCCUUCUGACGAACCAUGAUGUCAUUUAUUUGGUGUUGUGGGGAAUCAGGACUGUUACUUUGAAAAAUUAGAGUGUUUAAAGCAGGCUCACGCUUGAAUACAUUAGCAUGGAAUAAUGAAAUAGGACGUUUGAUUCUAUUUUGUUGGUUUCUAGGAUCGACGUAAUGAUUAAUAGGGAUAGUUGGGGGCAUUAGUAUUCAAUUGUCAGAGGUGAAAUUCUUGGAUUUAUUGAAGACUAACUACUGCGAAAGCAUUUGCCAAGGAUGUUUUCAUUAAUCAAGAACGAAAGUUAGGGGAUCGAAGACGAUCAGAUACCGUCGUAGUC
rnacentral:rRNA from 1 species